GUUUAUUCUUGAAUAUGUACUAGAAUUCGAACAAUGCAGAGAAGAUUAUCAUGGCCCCUUCGCAAGGUUUACUCGUCAUUUCACGAAGAGUUCCAUUUUCUU
rfam:Angiostrongylus cantonensis strain Taiwan genome assembly, scaffold: ACAC_scaffold0002406